rfam:Myotis lucifugus cont2.44506, whole genome shotgun sequence.
GCCAGUUUUGCUCAGUGGAUAGAGCAUCAGCCUGUGGACUGAAGGGUCCCAGGUUCGAUUCCUGGUCAGGGCA